UACGUAGGGGGCUAGCGUUAUCCGGAAUUACUGGGCGUAAAGGGUGCGUAGGUGGUUUCUUAAGUCAGAGGUGAAAGGCUACGGCUCAACCGUAGUAAGCCUUUGAAACUGAGAAACUUGAGUGCAGGAGAGGAGAGUAGAAUUCCUAGUGUAGCGGUGAAAUGCGUAGAUAUUAGGAGGAAUACCAGUUGCGAAGGCGGCUCUCUGGACUGUAACUGACACUGAGGCACGAAAGCGUGGGGAGCAAACAGGAUUAGAUACCCCUGUAGUCCCUGA
rnacentral:rRNA from 1 species